rnacentral:rRNA from 1 species
ACAAGCGGCGGAGCAUGUGGUUUAAUUCGAUGAUACGCGAGGAACCUUACCUGGGCUUAAAUGGGAGUGACAGCUGUCGAAAGAUGGUUUUCUUCGGACACUCUUCAAGGUGCUGCAUGGUUGUCGUCAGCUCGUGCCGUGAGGUGUCGGGUUAAGUCCCAUAACGAGCGCAACCCUUACCGUUAGUUACCAUCAGGUUAAGCUGGGGACUCUAGCGGGACUGCCACCGUAAGGUGAGAGGAAGGUGGGGAUGACGUCAAAUCAGCACGGCCCUUAUGUCCAGGGCUACACACGUGUUACAAUGGCCGGUACAAAGGGCAGCUACUUCGCGAGAAGAUGCUAAUCUCGAAAGCCGGUCUCAGUUCGGAUCGAAGUCUGCAACCCGACUUCGUGAAGCUGGAUUCGCUAGUAAUCGCGCAUCAGCCAUGGCGCGGUGAAUACGUUCCCGGGCCUU